AACCUGGAAGUGCGUGUCGCUGUGGAGGACAGGGGCGACAAGAUGGCGUCGCUCCCGGGACCAGGCCGUGACUUGACGGCCUCGCGUCAGAGCCUGGCUAAGGAGAUUCCCCGAGAGCCGCAAGCCUCCUCGCGUUGCGCCGCCCUCCGGAGACUGCCGGACGUGCGCUGCCUCGGGGGUGCCUGAGAAGGCCGCGAGGAUCCCGCUAAACCCGGGCGGCGACGGUCCUCAUCUGUUAUAUUUCUGUGCAAGCCGGUGCUGGAGAGGGGUGCACCAGACACAGGAGUGACCCAUCACGCAGAACUGCCGAGCACCCAGUCCGUGCAGACCCAAAGCUCUCGUCAGUCUCCGAGAAGAGGCAAACGGAAUUCUGUAGGAUUUUUUCCCUCUUAAAGAAUAUUUUUUUUAUUCGUUGACCGUUUCGUUCAUGUGUACAAUGUAAUGUGAUCAUAACACCUCAUUCUUAGUCUCAAGCACGGGCCCCUGUGACGUAAAUAAAACGUUGUUGGAGCCUUGA